rnacentral:rRNA from 1 species
GAUGAACGCUGGCGGCGUGCCUAAUACAUGCAAGUCGAGCGAACGGACGAGAAGCUUGCUUCUCUGAUGUUAGCGGCGGACGGGUGAGUAACACGUGGAUAACCUACCUAUAAGACUGGGAUAACUUCGGGAAACCGGAGCUAAUACCGGAUAAUAUUUUGAACCGCAUGGUUCAAAAGUGAAAGACGGUCUUGCUGUCACUUAUAGAUGGAUCCGCGCUGCAUUAGCUAGUUGGUAAGGUAACGGCUUACCAAGGCAACGAUGCAUAGCCGACCUGAGAGGGUGAUCGGCCACACUGGAACUGAGACACGGUCCAGACUCCUAAGGGAGGCAGCAGUAGGGAAUCUUCCGCAAUGGGCGAAAGCCUGACGGAGCAACGCCGCGUGAGUGAUGAAGGUCUUCGGAUCGUAAAACUCUGUUAUUAGGGAAGAACAUAUGUGUAAGUAACUGUGCACAUAUUGACGGUACCUAAUCAGAAAGCCACGGCUAACUACGUG